UACGAAGGGGGCUAGGCGUUGUUCGGAAUUACUGGGCGUAAAGGGCGCGUAGGCGGUGUGUCAAGUCAGGCGUGAAAGCCCCGGGCUCAACCUGGGAACAGCGCUUGAGACUGGCACGCUCGAGUUCGGGAGAGGAUGGUGGAAUUCCCAGUGUAGAGGUGAAAUUCGUAGAUAUUGGGAAGAACACCGAUGGCGAAGGCAGCCAUCUGGACCGACACUGACGCUGAGGCGCGAAAAGCGUGGGGGAGCAAACAGG
rnacentral:rRNA from 1 species